ACUCAAGGCUCCUCCCAGGUGGCGGAGGAGAGCCCGGAGCUGCUGAACCCUGAGCCCAGGAGACUGAGCCCAGAGUUGAGGCUACUGCCCUAUGUGAUCACUCUGGGCGAUGCCGUGCACAACUUCGCCGACGGGCUGGCCGUGGGCGCCGCCUUCGCGUCCUCCUGGAAGACCGGGCUAGCCACCUCGCUGGCCGUGUUCUGCCACGAGUUGCCACACGAGCUGGGGGACUUCGCCGCCUUGCUGCACGCGGGGCUGUCCGUGCGCCAAGCUCUGCUGCUGAACCUGGCCUCCGCGCUCACGGCCUUCGCUGGUCUCUACGUGGCACUCGCGGUUGGAGUCAGCGAGGAGAGCGAGGCCUGGAUCCUGGCAGUGGCCACCGGCCUGUUCCUCUACGUAGCACUCUGCGACAUGGUCAGGAUGGCGAGGGGAGGGGCUGCUCUGGGCCGGGAGCUGAGCAGAGGAGCUGAGCAGGGGCGCUGACCCGGUGCCCACUUGCUCCUCAGCUCCCGGCGAUGUUGAAAGUACGGGACCCGCGGCCCUGGCUCCUCUUCCUGCUGCACAACGUGGGCCUGCUGGGCGGCUGGACCGUCCUGCUGCUGCUGUCCCUGUACGAGGAUGACAUCACCUUCUGAUACCCUGCCCUAGUCCCCCACCUUUGACUUAAGAUCCCACACCUCACAAACCUACAGCCCAGAAACCAGAAGCCCCUAUAGAGGCCCCAGUCCCAACUCCAGUAAAGACACUCUUGUCCUUGGAGCAUGGCUGUGCUCUCCUUGCUGGGUGGGAAGGGUCCUCAGCUGAGAAAGGACAAUUGCGGCACUGCCUUCUCCCCAUCGGGGUGCCUCGAAGCUGGGAGAGCUGCACUCAGGACCCCCAGGCAGCCAGCCUCAGGUGCCCCCUCUUUGAUAUGGAGACCCUGCCUGCCUGAGGAGUGGGGUCAGGGAAAUUCACCCGGGUGUGUGGGCAGCAGGUGGGACCUGUCCCCAAACAGGAAUCAAACUUGCUUACCUAUAACUGCUUACACAGCCGAGGGCUUAUUUCUCUGUCAUGGAAAGCAAGCCUGGAGAUCGUCAGACCAGAGUGUGUGGCAGCCCACGGUUCCUGGGACGCCAGCCUCUUCUGACUCUGAGGCGUUAAUCCUGAGUCCCUGUGUGGUGGCCUCCUAGGGCUACCGUAACAAAGCCUACCAUAAACUGAGUGCCUUAAAACCAGAAACUUAUUCUCACAGUUCUGGAGGCUGAAAGUUAGGAAUCAAAGUGUCAGGAGAGCAAUGCUCUCUCUGAAGUCUCUAGGAAACAGUCUGUUCCAUGAGCCUUUCCUGGCUACUGGUGGCCCCAGGUGUUCCUUGCUUUGUGGGCAGUAUGACUCCAAUCCCUGCCUUUGUCUUCACUUGACCUCCCCUCCCCUCCCCUUUUCUUUUCUUUCUUCUUUUGAGACAGAGCUUCACUCUGUCGCCCCGGCUGGAGUACAGUGGCACCAUCUCGGCUCACUGCAACCUCUGCCUCCCAGGUUCAAGCAAUUCUGCAUCAGCCUCCCGAGUAGCUGGGAUUACAGGCACCCGCCACCACGCCCAGUUAAUUUUUAUAUUUUUAGUAGGACGGGGUUUCACCAUGUUGGCCAGGCUGGUCUCGAUCUCCUGACCUCAGGUAAUCCACCCACCUCGAUCUCCCAAAGUGCUAGGAUUACAGGUGUGAGCCAUUGCGCCUGGCCGACAUGACCUUCUUUCUUGUGUUUCUGUCUCUUCUGAUUAUUUUUAUUGUAUGUGACUCGUCACUCAGGCUGGAGUGCAAUGACGCCAUCUUGGCUCACUGCAACCUCUGCCUCCUGGGUUCAAGUGAUUCUCCUGCCUCAGUCUCCCGAGUAGCUGGGAUUACAGGCAUGUGCCACCACCCUGGCUAAUUUUUGAAGGGGGCCAGCCCCUCCACACCUGUGAGUAUUUCUCAUCAGGUGGGACGAGAGACUGAGAAAAGAAGACACACAGACGAAGUAUAGAGAAAGAACAGUGGGCCCAGAGGACCCAGCAUACGGAGGACCCGCACCAGCACCGGCCUCCGAGUUCCCUCAGUAUUGAUCAUUAUUUUUACCAUCUUAGCGAGGGGAGUGUAGCAGGGCAACAAGUGGGGAGAAGGUCAGCGCGGAAACAUGUGAGCAAAGGAAUCUGUAUCAUGAAUAAGUUCAAGGAAAGGUACUGUGCCCGGAUGUGCACGUAGGCUAAAUUUAUGUUUCUCUUUACCCAAACAUGUCAGUGUAGCAAAGAGUAACAGAGCAGCAGCGCUAGAUUUAUGUUUCUCUUUACCCAAACAUCUCAGUGUAGGAAAGAGUAACAGAGCAGUAUUGCUGCCAGCAUUCUUGCUUCCAGGCAGUUUUCUCCUAUCUCAGAACAGAACAAAAGGGAAUGGUUGGCUUUACACUGAGACAUUCCAUUCCCAAAGACGAGCAGGAGACAGAAGGCUUCCUCUUAUCUCAACUGCAAAGAGGCCUGCCUCUUUACUACUCCUCAGCACAGACCCUUUAUAGGUGUUGGGCUGGGAGACGGUAAGGUCUUUCCUUUCCCAUAAGGCCAUAUCUCAGGCUGUCUCAGUGGGGGGAAACCUUGGACAAUUCCCAGGCUUUCUUGGGCAGAGGUCCCUGUGGCUUCCCGCAGUGCAUUGUGUCCCUGGUUAAUCGAGAAUGAAGAAUGGCGAUAACUUUUACCAAGCAUACUGCCUACAAACAUAUUAACGAGGCACAUCCUGCAUAGCCCUAAAUCCAUUAAACUUUGAUUCAUU
rnacentral:sRNA from 1 species